rnacentral:rRNA from 1 species
CCUACGGGGGGCAGCAGUGGGGAAUAUUGCACAAUGGGGGAAACCCUGAUGCAGCGACGCCGCGUGAGUGAAGAAGUAUUUCGGUACGUAAAGCUCUAUCAGCAGGGAAGAAGAAAGAGGGUACCUGACUAAGAAGCCCCGGCUAACGACGUGCCAGCAGCCGCGGUAAUACGUAGGGGGCAAGCGUUAUCCGGAUUUACUGGGUGUAAAGGGAGCGUAGACGGCUGUGCAAGUCUGAAGUGAAAGCCCAGGGCGCAACCCUGGGACUGCUUUGGAAACUGUGGAGCUAGAGUGCUGGAGAGGUAAGUGGAAUUCCUAGUGUAGCGGUGAAAUGCGUAGAUAUUAGGAGGAACACCAGUGGCGAAGGCGGCUUACUGGACAGUGACUGACGUUGAGGCUCGAAGGCGUGGGGAGCAAACAGGAUUAGAUACCCGGGUAGUC